rnacentral:snoRNA from 1 species
UUGCCAUGAUGAGUAUCAGAAUUAGUUAAAGUAUAUUGUAAAUACUUGAUGAAGAGUCGACAACUUUGUCGAACUGAGCGGUUACCUGAGCAA